CGGGCGGACCAGCUCCGGCUUCCACCGACUCCGGCAUUCCGUUGAAACCCGGCAGCGGCGGCUUCUAAGAUUUCACUCCGCGCUGGGCUGGGGGGAGGGGGUGAUUUCUCCGGGAGGGGGUGUCUCAGAUCGAAAGAGCCACUUCAUGCUCCUUCCUCUCCUCCGAAGUGAGUUUUUAGACUCUCCGGAGGCCUUGGGGAAACACGGGCAGCCGCGCGCAAAGAAAGCCCCCCUUCCUCCCAACACACACACACACACAAAUGCCGCCUUGACUAGUGUCUGACCCGAUUUCCAGGGUCACGGCCCAGCAGCAGAGCGCCCGGGCAGCCUCCGAAAUACCACCAAGCGGUGGGUUGUGGCACCCAGCAGAGCUGGGGUGGAGGUAUCGCGCUAAAAAAUAGUAGCUCAGACUUCCACGCUCUUUUCUAAGUACUUGACAAGCCCUCCAACUUUACAGAUCAAGAAACUGAGGCAUAGACAAAGGUCAGUUAAGUAUCGCGCUCAGAGUCACCCAGCUAAUUAAAUGACCUAGUGGGAAUCUGAACGCAGGUUUUCCAGAGCCUAGGGUGGCUAACCAUUAUGCUAUAGCGCUCACCUUGGAAUCACAGAGCCACCCACAAUACGAAACUUAGUGUUCGCUUGAUGGCUACAUAUUUUGUACGUUACAUUGUGGCUGGCACAGAGGCACUCGAAAAAUAUUAGUGGAAGGAAUGGGUGUCUGAAUAAGUGAUUGACAGAAUCAUGGAUGGCAAGUGAGUUUAGAGAAAACAGCGCCAACCAUUGUUCCUUCUAAGAGGAUUGUCUUACCUUAAUAAAACCUCUAGCUGUUUUUUGAAUGUUUGCAGGUAACAGGAAACUCUUAUUCAAAAAUAUAUGAACUUCCCACCCCUGCUCCUCAGCCAAUCAGCCUGGCAGCAUUUGAACUUGCUGGGGCACAUACCCAAAGCAGCUUUUACUUGGUCUCAGCCAUUUUUUCCCCACCCUGUUCCUUCUCUGUAGGCUUCCGCUCAGGGUCAGGCAGCCUGGAACUGCAUUUGAAGUGAUUCUGAACAUAUAGCAAGAAAGGAGUGUAUACCCACCAAACAUGGCUCACUGGCUUCCCUUCCACAGGCGGGUGCUGGUGGGGUGAGGGGAGCGUGGCUUGCAGCUCAGUGCUUAUUUUUUAAUUCUCGGACCACAUAAGGAGCACCACCAUCCGUGCAGCUUGCUUCAAAGUCACAGCCCCUCACCAGCUGUGAGGUCACACCUCUCGGAAGGCAGUAGUCUACCUUAACCAACAGCUCUGAGAUGCUCAUCAGUGGGACCACAUCUGCAAUUUGGAGAGCUGCCACUGGUGUUCUGUGCUGUCCUGCUCCUUCCGGUGGCCCAAGAGAGGAUAUGAUUUUUAAAAAGUUGUUCUAUUUAGAUAAUCCAGUACAAUGUACUUUUAUGCUACGUUGUUAUCUUCCUCCCCUCCUUUUCUAGACCUAACCAGUUGUCUCUUCUAGGUCGCUAGUUGGGCAACCUGAAAUGAGGACAAGUUUCACUUCAAGUUACCUGAAAGUGAACUUUCGCCUUUCCAAUUUGAUUCCUCCAACAUCUGUUGAAUGGCUCUCGGUCCUGGUCUGGAGGGACCAGCAGGACCCUGUGACCUCAACUUGUGGCCAGCCCAGGUUGGAAGCAUCAGGUGAUUUCCAAGGAGGCCACAGACUUCCAUCCCACGUGGCCAGGUCGUAGCAGAGAGCAGCCUUGCCGAAACUCACUUACCCCUUGUGCAGGGGGGCCUGGUGACAAGUGAUGCUGAACUGGAGGUUCGGGAUGCUAAUUUUAUUUAUUAUCUGUGUACAGCUUGGGGAGGAGAAAAGGCUCAUAAAAGUGUUCUAGGCUGGUCA